rnacentral:lncRNA from 1 species
AUGCUUCUCACCCUGCUGUGCUGUGCAGUCCUGUUGGGCUCUGUUCCUGCUCCCCAUGGUAAUAGGUCAUUGUGUCACACCUGGGUAGCUGUGACAUCAUUCCUGCUGUGGUUCCAUCAUGAAGGGCAGUUGCUAUUAAGACAGCUCUCCUCCAUCCCUACUGUGAUGAUGCAGGCAGGGCAGCCUCUUUGCUGUCUUUAUUGCCAGCACUGUUUAGGGUGUGAUGACAGACAGGCAGGCAGCUCCCAAGGAAAAAGAAGAUAUUUUUGGAGGGAGAUGUUGCAGGUGGCCUUCUCAAAUAUGCUGAGUGACUGGAAGGGACUGACAAGGCAGGGAGAUGGAGGAAAAGGCAUUGUUGGAUUUUCAAUAAGGAAUCAAUAUUCCUCUGGAGGGCUGGUAUACCUCAGCUGUAAACAUUUCAUCCCUCUGAUCAAGAUGGGAAUAGCAACCUGUGACUCAGACCACCAUCCUGAGCAAUAAAGGAGCUUUAUGACUUAGUGUGGCUAACUUGUUCCUCCUGAGGAAUGAGUAGCGUGCCAGCAGAAUGCUCACAAACAGCAUGCAAAGGAGCAAAGAAGAACACAAUCACAUCUGUAGCCUAUCUUAAGCCUCAGACCCUGCACUGUUAUCUGCCUCCUGCUAUGUAUGGUGGCAAUGCACCUGAUGCUACCAAAAGGAUGUUCUGGCCUAUGGUCCCACUGACUGGCUCUCUGCAGCACAGUGCACGUGCUGUAGGCAUGUAACACACAGCAGAGCUG